AGGCCGCGGGGGACCCGCAGCUGCUUCGCCGCCUCAUGGGCCCCACCGCAGAUUGCGCGCAGGAACAGCAGGAGGACGACAACGACGAGGAGGAGGAGGAGGAGGAGGAGGAGGGAGGGGAGAAGAGGGCUCGGUUGUGUUUGGAGGGGAUGCACUCCUCCUGGCCGUUUGAUUGCCCUCAUCACGAUCAGGAGCCGUUUGUGGAUCAGAUCGCGGUCGGUGAUCAUGGUGAGCAUCAUCCUUUCAUCCGCACCGUCGAUCCGGUCGGGUUUUACGGCGGAGUCGGUGGCGGCGGACCGAAUCUGAAUCCUAACCCGAACCCGAAUGCUUACCCGUUUCUGCCACCAAAUGGUAUCAGUGGGUUCUAAAUUACAGCUCGGUAUGUUACGUAAUGACAUGCAAGAAAACUGCUGUAAAUAAAGCGAUCUAUGCAGUUUUCCCAAGAUGUGAAGAGUCCAUACUAGGAAUACAAAUGUAUCUAAGUUGAUAAAGUUCUUGUCCAAUCCAUCUUUUGUGCGCUAGGAAGUAACUGGAAGCUAGGUGGGUGGUUCGAAACAGGUAACAUACUAUCUUACUUCCAAAAAAAUUGUUUGGAAUCUUUUAAUGAUCCACUUCCAAUGGUAAUUCUACACGUUUAUAUAAGAUAGUUGUUUUGGCAUUACAUUUUCUUUGCUUAGACAUGCAAAAUUCAGGAUGACGCCAUGUUUUAUUGAGUCUGUAGUUCAAGAUAACGCCAAUAAUUAAGAUGUCACGAUGUACCAAUAAUUAAGAUGUCACGAUAUAUUUACAUAAACAAUGUCAUGUAAAACAAUGAAUGAAGCGGGUAGAUUGCUAUCUAUUCUCAAAAAAACAAUGUCACGUAUAAAGUUCUUCUUUUUGAGGUC